AGUGAACGCUGGCGGUAGGCCUAACACAUGCAAGUCGAACGGCAGCACAGUAAGAGCUUGCUCUUACGGGUGGCGAGUGGCGGACGGUUGAGGAAUACAUCGGAAUCUACUUUUUCGUGGGGGAUAACGUAGGGAAACUUACGCUAAUACCGCAUACGACCUACGGGUGAAAGCAGGGGAUCUUCGGACCUUGCGCGAUUGAAUGAGCCGAUGUCGGAUUAGCUAGUUGGCGGGGUAAAGGCACACCAAGGCGACGAUCCGUAGCUGGUCUGAGAGGAUGAUCAGACAGAAUGGAACUGAGAAACGGUCCAGACUCCUACGGGAGGCAGCAGUGGGGAAUAUUGGACAAUGGGCGAAAGCCUGAUCCAGCCAUACCGCGUGGGUGAAGAAGGACUUCGGGUUGUAAAGCCCUUUUGUUGGGAAAGAAAAGAAGCAGGUUAAUACCCCGCUGUUCUGACGGUACCCAAAGAAUAAGCACCGGCUAACUUCGUG
rnacentral:rRNA from 1 species